GAUGAAGAACGCAGCGAAAUGCGAUAAGUAAUGUGAAUUGCAGAAUUCAGUGAAUCAUCGAAUCUUUGAACGCACCUUGCGCCCUUUGGCUAUUCCGAAGGGCAUGCCUGUUUGAGUAUCAUGAACACCUCGACUCUCAUGGUUUGCCAUGAUGAGCUUGGACUUUGGGGGUCUUGCCGGCCUAUGGGUCGGCUCCUCUCAAAUUAAUCAGCUUGCCAGUGUUUGGUGGCAUCACAGGUGUGAUAACUAUCUACGCUUGUGGUUUUCCAUCAGGUAACCUUCAGUGAUGGAGGUUCGCUGGGGCUCAUAAAUGUCUCUCCUCAGUGAGGACAGCUUUUUUGAACGUUUGAUCUCAAAUCAGGUAGGACUACCCGCUGAACUUAAGCAUAUCAAUAAGCGGAGGA
rnacentral:misc_RNA from 1 species